GCUCCAGUAGACCCGGCUGGAAAGGAAACGGCUCCAGUAGACCCGGCUGGAAAGGAAACGGCACCAGUAGACCCGGCUGGAAAGGAAACGGCACCAGUAGACCCGGCUGGAAAGGAAACGGCACCAGUAGACCCGGCUGGAAAGGAAACGGCACCAGUAGACCCGGCUGGAAAGGAAACGGCACCAGUAGACCCGGCUGGAAAGGAAACGGCACCAGUAGACCCGGCUGGAAAGGAAACGGCACCAGUAGACCCGGCUGGAAAGGAAACGGCACCAGUAGACCCGGCUGGAAAGGAAACGGCACCAGUAGACCCGGCUGGAAAGGAAACGGCACCAGUAGACCCGGCUGGAAAGGAAACCCACGGCACACGUGAUGAGGCAGAGAGCAGUCACUUCUUUGCUUAUCUUGUGUGUUCAGCUGUGUUGGUGGCAGUGCUCUACAUUAGCUACCACAACAAGCGGAAGAUCAUUGCCUACUGCGUGGAGGGAAAGAGGUCGAGAUCGGGACGUCGGCCCAAAGGCACAGAGUACACCAAGCUGGAACAGAAUUAGUGAAGUAUGUCAUGAAGUCAUUGCCAGAAAACUGUGGAUAUAGGUGUUAAGAUGAAAUAAGGCACCAAACUGAUUCCUGGGGAAAGAAGACUUGCUUGGUUUAAUCAAAAAAAAAAGUUUUUUUUUUUUUUUUACAAAUGGGUAUUACUUAAUAGAUGUUUGCCUUUCGAUGCUUAUUGCAUGACUAUGCAGAGGAUACUGUUGCUGAUAAGCAUGCUUGUGUUUGCACUCCUGUGUUAUUGUGGUACUUUGGGGCGUCCUUUGUGUUCUCAGUCAGUCCAACUGACUGAGAUAAUACCUUGAUGUACUGACUCAGGAUGAUUUUGUUUGUCACAGAAGAAGUUGUAUUGUGAGGAUUCCAACUGGUCCCUUAGUGUUUGCAAGUAAUAUUGGACAGUAGUUUGACACCUGAUAUGAUGACCACAAUGUUGGCCAGAUGAAUGUAAUUGUACUUCUUGUAUGUUUUGGAGUGUUGUAUUUUCUUUUUAGCUUGAUCCCUUCUGAGAUGGCAGAGGAAAGGGACGUUUUAGUUGCGUUGUGUUGGUUGGAGUGGAGUAAGUGGAAAAACAGUGAAGGUGAUUGUGUGAUUGAUAAUGCAUGUGGAUGAAUGAUACUGAAGUUAACCUAAGCCUAAGUUCCAAAUAUAUUAGAGGCAGGGGUGUCAAAACGCAUUAUCUUCACGAAGUUCGGAAGGCCACACGUAAAAUGUGUUAUAUUUCCUAGCUGUCAGAAUCUGAAUUAGAGCUCUGCUACCUGACCCAAGCCUGAUGGGCCCUAACAUUAUACAUCGGUUAGAGCCUGGUAGGCCUGUUUUUACCCCCAUCAAUAACUAGGGUACGGACAGGGCUCGGGUAUCACUAAAUUGAUCAGUAACAUGUUGAAGCUGAGCCAUUUGCUUGUGCUUUUCUGCUCCGUACAGUCAUAUCUAAGAUCAUAACAUGGUGCCAGAAGUGCUUCAAAUAUAACGGGAGAGCUUAUUUCACAAAUAAUGUUCCUUGAGUUUUGUAGAAGUUUAGAGUGACAAAAAGUAGCUAAAAGCCAAUGUAUGGUUAAUCUGGCAUCUGAAUUGGCCGUAGAGCUUUUACUGCGAUGCGGUCUCUGCAGAAGUCAGGGCAUUCAUAAUUCUUGAGGAGCAGAGCAGAGUUGUUGUCAAGGAAGUGCGUUUGUGUUUAUACGGGAUGUACCGCCCCCACCUACCAUCAACCAAUCAUGUCAAUGUGGAGUGGUACGGAGCUCCCAGCAUUGUUACAUGCGGCCUCCGGAGGCUCUAUACAGAGGGUGUGAUGCAGCUCUUGCGGAAGCCGCAUCGCCUCCCAGAUUUUGUAUCCAUGCGGAGGGCUCCCUAUAGCUCUGCAUUGACAUGAUUGAUCAACGGCUUUAACACUUCUCGCAUGUCUUGUCAUUGAGCAGAGCAGCCCAACGGAGCCGUUGCUAUGGUUACACAAACUGAGCCGCUAUUAGCAUAGUGCAUGCAGAGCGUGCUGCUUGCGCGAGACUGACAGAGAGGAGCAGCUAAUGGAUUUACUAUUUAGUUAUUUCUGGUUUCGGGCAGGGCUGGGCCUUUAAAUUUGGCAGAAGUAAUUGGGACUGGGUAGGCUAGUGCUAAAAUUCAUGCACGUGCAGGGCUCUCCCCGGGAUUUGAGCUAUCUUGCAUGCGAAGGGGGGCAUUAUGUAAUUUGUUCUUUCUAAAGAGGGACAUUUUUAUUUAUUUAACUAGGCAAGUCAGUUUAUGAACAAAUUCUUAUUUACAAUGACUACCCCCUACCCCAGCCAAACCCGGACGAUGCUGGGCCAAUUGUGCGCAGCCCUAUGGGACUUCCAAUCAUGGCCAGAUGUGAUUCAGUCUGGAUUUGAACCAGGGACUGUAGUGAUGCCUCUUGCACUGAGGUGCAAUGCCUUAGACCGCUGCGCCACUCAGGACCCAAAAAUAGCUGAUCUAUCCCAAACUUUUCAUGGUCUCAACAAAGCUGUCCUUUGAGGGCUUUUGGUAGGGUAGACAUUUUGGCAAAAUUAAGAGUAUUGAUGAACAUUCCAAGGAAUGUAGAAGAUAAAAAUAUUAUCCAAUUGAAGAAUAUGUAAGACUGAGCCAGUGUAUAUUUCUCUCCUGUGGCUGCGUCCUAAAUGAUCACUAUAUUUCUACCCAGGGCCUUGUUUCAGAGAGAUCUUUCCGUACAAUGUGCUUUUCAAUAGUCAGUUGAGUAUAUGGCAAAUGGAAGUAGUCAUUUUGCACAGAUCCUUUUUGUAUGCUGGACCAAUUUAAGCUAAAUUGGAUUAGAAAUUACAUUUUAUACUAUACUUGCCGUGGUUUUGUCACUGUCACAACAAUGCAAAUGUUUUUCUUUUUUGGUGGGAGUUGAAAUGAAUAAAAUGUAUUUAACAAUU